rnacentral:rRNA from 1 species
UACAGAGGGGGCGAGCGUUGUUCGGAAUUACUGGGCGUAAAGGGCGCGUAGGCGGCCUCUUAAGUCGAACGUGAAAUCCCCGGGCUCAACCCGGGAACUGCGUCCGAUACUGGGGGGCUUGAAUCCGGGAGAGGGAUGUGGAAUUCCAGGUGUAGCGGUGAAAUGCGUAGAUAUCUGGAGGAACACCGGUGGCGAAGGCGGCAUCCUGGACCGGUAUUGACACUGAGGCGCGAAAGCCAGGGGAGCAAACGGG